rnacentral:rRNA from 1 species
AACGAACGCUGGCGGCAGGCUUAACACAUGCAAGUCGAACGGAUCCUUCGGGCUUAGUGGCAGACGUGUGGGUACCGCGUGGGAACGUACCCUUUGCUACGGAAUACCUCAGGGAAACUUGAGCUCAUACCGUAUGUGCUCUACGGGGGUAAGAUUUAUCGGCAAAGGAUCGGCCCUCGUUGGAUUAGCUAGUUGGUGGGGUAAUGGCCUAGCAAGGCGACGAUCCAUAGCUGGUCUGAGAGGAUGAUCAACCACACUGGGACUGAGACACGGCCCAGACUCCGACGGGAGGGAGCAGUGGGGAAUAUUGUACAAGGGGCGCAAGCCUGACACAGCCAUGCGGCGUAAGUGAUGAAGGUCUUAGGAUUGUAAAGCUCUUUCAGCGGUGAAGAUAAUGACGGUAGCCGGAGAAGAAGCCCCGGCUAACUUCGUG